GUCCUGUUGAUUAUAAUUUCAGGUCUGACCUGCUCUAUGAGGGAUUAAAUGGCCGCGGUAUAUUGACCGUGCAAAGGUAGCAUAAUCAUUAGUUUUUUAAUUGAAAGCUUGCAUGAAAGGUUUGAUGAAGGGGUUUCUGUCUCUUGUAAAUUUUUUUAGAAUUUUAUUUUUAAGUCAAAAAGCUUAAAUGAUUAUAGAAGACGAGAAGACCCUAUAGAGUUUAAUAUUUUAACUAAAAUUAAUUUUUAAGUAUUAAAUUUGUGUUUUAAGAAAAGUAUUUUGUUGGGGUGAUAAAAAAAUUAAAUAAACUUUUUUUGUAUUUUUACAUUGAUGUAUGAGUUUUUGAGCCUAAAAUUUAGAUUAUAAGAAUAAAUUACCUUAGGGAUAACAGCGUAAUUUUCUUUAGAGUACUGAUCGAAUAGAAAGAUUGCGACCUCGAUGUUGGAUUAAAAUUAAUUAGUGGAGUAGAAGCUACUAUAUUAGGUCUGUUCGACCUUUAAAAUUUUACAUGAUCUGAGUUUAAACCGGCGUAAG
rnacentral:rRNA from 1 species